rnacentral:lncRNA from 1 species
UUUUUUUUUUUCUGUCUUUUAACACUAGUCUGUAAAAUACAAAUAGAAGAGGAGAUUGAAGUAAGAAGAUAACCAAAUUGAACGAGCAAUACUAGGAUGGUAUUCCGUUUAUAUGUAUUAAGUUAACAUUAAGGGUCCGUUUGUUUCGGGUGAAAAUAUUUUCCAGGAAAAUAUUUUCCUAAUUUCCCGUGUUUGGUUACACAAAAGUUACUGAAAACAUUUUCCUAUGUAAAAUAUUUUCACCCAUCUUAUGGAAAACAACUUCCCUUCCAAAUUUACUGAAGUUGUUUUCCGGAAUGCAUGCAUUCCGCCUGUAGUAUGUUCCAAACUUACUGAAAACAUCUUGUAGUAUGUUCUUUUUUUUUUAGUGUAAACAGGAGAACUCGAACCCAAGACCUCUUCCUUACACUCCCUCCCCCGUACCACCCAACCCAACCCUCCCCUAGUAUAUUCAAAAUUAAAAAAAAAAAACCUCAUCCUGCUCAUCCUAUGCUAGUAAUUAAUAAUGUAUAAUAGGGACAUUCUUUUUUAGAGAAACUUUCAACAGUGAGAGUGCAAGAUAUAUGUCACAAUAUGCAUUGCAUGUGAUUGAUAUUUGACACUAAAUGGCCAGCAAUUUGUUUAUUGCUUGAGGAGAUAUUUUUUAUUCAUAUAUACAUUUCUCCAAGAUUUUUUAAAGUUAAACAAUGAGAUAAAUUUUCUUAUUUUGCAUGGAAAGAAGUAUGUAAUUAUAAUGUGUAGAAAGUAAAGAUAGAGAUAAAAGUGAAAAUAUUUCAAAAGUUAAACAAACACCAGAAAAAUGAAGUAAGAAAAUAUUUUCAAUAAACUAACCAAACACCUGAAAAUGAUGAAAGGGAAAUGAUUUUCAUGGAAAAUUACUUCCACGAAAAUUUUUUCCCAAGGAAAACAUUUUACUUCCAACCAAACAGACCCUAAAUGGAAAAGGUGCAACUCUUUACAGGUGAAACCUAACACCAAAGUUGUGGGUGGCAAGUGGCAACUACAAACUAUACAGAGAUCCUGAGGAGAAGGGUUGGUGUUAUUGGCAAUGUGGAAACCGUUUGAUCUUCCUAACCAAUACAACCAUUUGAUCAUGAAUUUCAACUUUUAGGGGACUUAUGUUUUCAGGGUGUCCAUUCACAGUGAUGUAACCAUCGAUCGCUUGGACGUGGUAAGAUGAUAGCACAAGUAAGAUUAAUGAAAGACUAGUUGCUAUAAAAUUUGGCAUGGCAACGGAAGAGGGAGGAAGUAACAGGGCGGGGCGGGGACGGAGGGAAUUUUUCUCUCCCGUUUUAAAUGGGGCGAGGGACGGUAUCCCCAUCCCGUCCCCCAUUUCAAUUUAUUAAUAUAAAUAAAUAUAUUAUAUUAUAUUAUAUUAUAAUAAUAAUAAUAAAUUUAAAAUAUUUGGCAACUAAGCAUAGCCUUUAUCUCCAAAUUCCUAAUUGAUAUUUGGCACAAAUAUGUUACGCGUCCUAUGAGUAUUCUCAAAUAUUAUUUAUACAAUUCAAUUGAAUUUCUUAAUUUCUUGACGUUUUAUUUCAACGCUUUUCUUGUUUUAUUUUUCUUUUUUCAGUUUUUUCAGUUUCAUAUUUAAUUUUAUUCUUUGAAUUUAGUUUUGAUCUUUUAAAUAAAAACUUCCACCCAAAAAAAACCAAAUUAUCUCUCGCGGACACCCGUGGGAGAAGCAGGGCGGGGAUUGCACUUGUGGCUUGUUCUGACUUGACUGCUCAAGUGGUGUGGCCUUUACCAUUCAUAUAUGUAUCAAGUAGUAAAUGAAAAACAGCAGGAAGUUUACCGAGGUACAAGUUGCAGUUCAUCAAAUGUCCUCGAGGGGCUGAAUACUUGGAGGGGAUGGAUAUCAUAUCAUCCUACCUUUGAUUGUUGGCCGCUAUGAUAAACAAAGGUAGCAGCCAGCGUCUUUCCACGGUUGUAUCUGGAUUACCAUACCAAGUCCCGACUCCUGAAGUCCUUUUUAUUUAGUUCAUGCCAUGCUUCGUUUUCUAUCACUUUCCAGUUGACCUGAUUGCGAAUGCAUGUUUUCACUUUUCAUCCCUUGUUUCGCUUUUCCUACGUCGAUCAAUCGCAAUUGGAAUAUAAAUUAACACCAAAAAUACCAAUUAUUACCUUUAGAAUUUGAUGAACGACAAGCCAAAUCUGUGGAAUAUUUACGACAAAUAAUUUGUUAACCAAUGAUGUAGUAUAGAAAAUUGGAACUAUAGGGUAACAGAGAGAAGCCGAAGAAGAGGAAGACGAGAAAUAAGGUACGUUAAGUGUUCCGAACCCCCACAAUGGUAAUUAAUGCACACGAAUAGGGUUGAAUGACAAUCUAAUUUCCCGAUACUUGAAUUGAAUUCAGUUUGAUAAGAGAUCGUUGGGCUUGUUUUGCCGAUUACUUGCCAUGCAUGAACAAGAUACAAAAUCAGAAAAAAUUUCAAAUUCAGCCUUCAGCUCAAUAAAUUUGAAAUUUUGUAUUUGGAAUUUAUGUGCCAAAUAAACAAGCAAUAGUUGCAGUUGAACUUGAAAAAAAAAAAUAAAACAAAGGACAUUUCAACCUUGAACGCAAUUUCAAGUUUGUUAUCACAAAUAAACAAAACUUAUCGGCAGCAGUGCUCAACACAACUGGGGUCGUUUAUGCCUCUACUGGUUAACAUUUAGGAGUACAGAUUGCACGCUAGUACCAUCAAGGGUGGAAGAUCUCAAGGCUCCAACAAAAAUUGGCACUACAUCUUUCCGGCUCAGAAUCCACAUCAAAAGAAGAUUUAAGCUGCAGAUACUGUUACUAGGAAGGUCUCUCAUACUGCAACUAUCACCAGGAAAUUUUAAGCUGCAGAUGCACCCAAAAGUUGAUGGUGGCAGCAGCCCAAAAAAGAAAUAGAAGUGAACGAGAAACGCAGAAAAAAGCAUCAAAUAUAAGCUUAUGUGAGCAGCUUUUGCUUAUUACCUUAGGAAAAACAAAUGUUCAGUAACAAAGCGCCUCUCACUAGGGUAGAAGAUGUACAACAGGCAAAACGAAAAAGAAGGAAAGUGUAAAACAGCACAUUAUGUUACAGUUUGAUGACACCCGGUUGGAGGAAGUUUGCUAGUCAUCCAACAUAAAGACCACAUUAUUCUUCUUAACAAAGUUAUGUG